GGUUGACCUCGGAUCAUGUAGGGAUACCCGCUGAACUUAAGCAUAUCAAUAAGCGGAGGA
rnacentral:rRNA from 1 species